GCUAAACCUUUAAAGUGAAGCAAUGGUAGCAGUUUAGCUAAUUGUUAAAGAUAGCUAAAUACUUGUUUGCUUUAAACUUUAGAGUGACAACUAUUUAUCUUAGCACUAACAUAACCUAAGGACCUAGUCACACAGUCUGCAACCAUCUGGCAACAACCAAACAUGUAUUCUCUGAUCAGUUGUGAAUUGCUGUGAGAACUCACUGUGAGGUUGCUUGCUCAGCUCAUUUCAUACGGGCCUAGAGACCAGGGCAGCGUGCAUUCGACUGGCAACUGGUUUCUCUGUAUUGUGUGCAGUCACUAGCAUGAAAAUGAUUGCAGAAAGAUAUAUGGUACUGCACCAAAAACCUCCUUGAAAUUGCUUUAGUCACGAGCAGAUUGCUGCGGUCUUCAGCAAAUUGUCCAGAAGAUGCUGACUUUUAAAAACUAUUCGACAGGUGGUAGUGAAACUGGGAAGACAGGGUUGUCCACUAGUCUCUAGGCUUGUGUGAGUGAGGCCUAAAAAUCUACAAGUUAUAAACAAUGAAAACGAACAUUAACUGCUAAUAUAAUAUACCUGCUAGCUAUUAGCUCAACUUAGCUCACUGCUAAAUGGCUUUUAAUUGAGAGUGGUCAGUCUUUGCAUCUAGCUUUUUGCAAGAAAGCAAACCUGUAUUUUAUUCAUUUCUUUUUUAGUGUAUCAUCCAGCCCUAUUGGACAGUAUGGAGUGCAACUGGAACAAAAACAUCUGACUGCAAACUUGCACUGUGUUUUAUUAGUAGUCUGAAGUUGCCUUGAAAGCAAAAAUGUCAACCAUGUUGUAACUAAAAUCUCAUCUACAAGCAUCUCAAUCUGUAUUUAAAUGUUGCAACAGUUCUUUGUCUUUUCCUUUACCUUUGUCAGAGCUUGUACUGUACUUCAGUGUUGACACUGCCACGUUAUGACGUUAGGGCCUUUUUAAAGCGCCUUUAUUUUCUAAUCUUGCUGUGUUCAGUUCUUCAAGCUUCCAUACCUACACUGUGCUGUCUUAUGUGUCUGGAGAUUAAAGCAAAAUUGUUGGUGAGUGUUAAUGUGACUUUGUGGCUAUGAACAGUUCUAUUUUAAUAAAAAACUAACAGACUAAUUUCCGAUUGUCUGUGGCAUUAUCAUACAAAUAAGAAAAAAAAAAAAAAGUCCUGCUACUCCAGCAUGUGUAUGGUUUUUAAAGUUUGGGGCAGUUUUACUAUUCCUACUGCUG
ensembl:lncRNA